AUAGGAUGGUUGCAUAGUUCAGCAGACUGAAUCAUGAAGAAAUUCCCCAUGUCUGAUUUAAUUU